GUAGGGAGGACCGGAGAGAAAAAACAUGAAGCUUUAAAUCUGCUCGUUGCCCAGUUAUUUCAAGAUUGUGUUCAAAAUGCAGAUGAGGUCGGUCACCAUAGAGCUUGAAUGGAGUUCCCUGUGCUAUACGGUGAACAGUGAAGGGAUUCAGCCAUGGAUUUACAUGAUACAUGGAUCCGUCCUCCCCCAAACUGUCCUCCCAUCCAGGCAGCCACAUAACACUGAGCAGACUGCCGUGAGCUAAACGAUAGAUCCUUGUUGGUGACACACAACUAUUUUUUGUCUAUUGAUAUUGUAUCUGGCAACUUUGCCAAAUUUGCUUACUUUCACAGUUUUUUGAUGGAGUAUUUUGAGCUUUCCAU
ensembl:lncRNA